GCCCGGAUGGCGGAAUUGGCAGACGCGGAGGUCUCAAAAACCUUUUCCGAAAGGAGUGCGAGUUCGAGUCUCGCUCCGGGCACCA
rnacentral:tRNA from 1 species